UUAAAUCUAGUGGCAGAGGUACUGUAUAUUGAAGCUCCCUUAUGCUGAUUUGUUCUUGUUCUUUAAUUGUCUUCUAACUUUCCAUACUGUAUAUGCUUACUUAGGUUACUAUACCAAGUCAAAUUAAAGAAUCAGGGUCUAUUUGAUGAGCGGUUUUGCUUCUCAGUUCAGAAGAUCUCGUUCCCUCAUCCAUCACUGCAACACCAGCCAAUUUAACCGCUACGGGUUAGUUUCUCUGAAUCAAUAAACUCUCUCCAGUGUUGGUGAAUAUAAUGGAUUAUUGGAUUCUUCACCUAAUAGGCUGCCACAGACCAUGUCAUUGUCACACAUAACAUGAUUGUAUAUUCCUUUGUGUGUGUGUUUUUUCUGCCUGACCAGAGUCUGCCUCCCAAUACAACCUCUCACAUGUUUCAAAGCCAUCUCAGCAGUAAUGAACUGGGGGCAAAACCCUCACACGAACCCUCUCCAGUAGGCAUCUAGCCAAUGCCCUGAGGGGGAGGCAUCAUCUGCACCUAUCACAGAGGUCCAAGAAAUGUUCAAAUAUUGCAGUAGAAUUCACUUUCAUUUUAUUUAAUCAUGUUUUGUUCUGUUCCUAAAGUGAGCAGGUGUCCACCAGUCCUGCUUGUUACCCACAGCGUGACAUCAAGCUACUCAUAUAUCACGCACAAGACAUUCCUGCGCACCCCUUCCUGCUUCAAGCCACCAUCACGCCACAGGACAGCAGGGGACGCUGUGAUAGCAGUGAAAAGCCUCCAUUCACUAACACUGAAAGAGGAGUUCAGGGAUGCAGCUUGGAUGAACGUCUUCCCUCCAUAAAUGUCCAGCCUGUGCGAGACCCGAUGCUUUGUGGUGAGCACCGAUGGUACAGUGGGAGCCCCAGUGAGA